GCACUGAUGAAGAGUCCCAUACUAAGACGAAACGGCUGUCCAGUGU
rnacentral:hammerhead_ribozyme from 1 species